rnacentral:rRNA from 1 species
ACAGAGGUCUCGAGCGUUGUUCGGAUUCAUUGGGCGUAAAGGGUGCGUAGGCGGUUAUAUAAGUCAGUGCUGAAAUAUCCCAGCUUAACUGGGAGGGUGGCACUGAUACUGUAUGACUUGAGUAGAGUUGAGGUUGGCGGAAUUGACGGUGUAGCGGUGAAAUGCUUAGAUAUCGUCAAGAACACCGAUAGUGAAGACAGCUAACUAAGCUCUAACUGACGCUGAGGCACGAAAGUGUGGGGAUCAAACAGGA